rnacentral:rRNA from 1 species
AAUGAACGCUGGCGGCAGGCCUAACACAUGCAAGUCGAACGCACCGCAAGGUGAGUGGCAGACGGGUGAGUAACGCGUGGGAACCUUCCCUUUGGUUCAGGAUAGCCCCGGGAAACUGGGAUUAAUACUGGAUAAGAUCUACGGAUGAAAGAUUUACCGCCGAAGGAUGGGCCCGGGUAAGAUUAGCUAGUUGGUGAGGUAAUGGCUCACCAAGGCUUUGAUCUUUAGCUGGUCUGAGAGGAUGAUCAGCCACACUGGAACGGAGACACGGUCCAGACUCCUACGGGAGGCAGCAGUGAGGAAUAUUGGACAAUGGGCGCAAGCCUGAUCCAGCCAUGCCGCGUGAGUGAUGAAGGCCUUAGGGUUGUAAAACUCUUUUAGUGGGGAAAAUAAUGAUGGUACCCACAGAAAAAGCUCCGGCUAACUUCGUGCCAGCCGCCGCGGUAA